CAGUAGCCGCGGGAAUACGUAGGUGGCAAGCGUUGUCCGGAAUUAUUGGGCGUAAAGCGCGCGCAGGCGGAUCGGUCAGUCUGUCUUAAAAGUUCGGGGCUUAACCCCGUGAUGGGAUGGAAACUGCCAAUCUAGAGUAUCGGAGAGGAAAGUGGAAUUCCUAGUGUAGCGGUGAAAUGCGUAGAUAUUAGGAAGAGCACCAGUGGCGAAGGCGACUUUCUGGACGAAAACUGACGCUGAGGCGCGAAAGCCAGGGGAGCGAACGGGAUUAGAUACCCCAGUAGUCCCUGUCUCUUAUACA
rnacentral:rRNA from 1 species